rnacentral:rRNA from 1 species
UACGGAGGGUGCGAGCGUUGUCCGGAAUCAUUUGGCGUAAAGGGCGCGUAGGUGGCCCGGUCAGUUCGUGGUGAAAGCGCGGGGCUCAACCCUGCGUCGGCCAUGAAUACUGCCGCGGCUGGAGCACUGUAGAGGCAGGCGGAAUUCCGGGUGUAGCGGUGGAAUGCGUAGAGAUCCGGAAGAACACCGGUGGCGAAGGCGGCCUGCUGGGCAGUGGCUGACGCUGAUGCGCGACAGCGUGGGGAGCAAACAGG